GGUUGACCUCGGAUCAGGUAGGAAUACCCGCUGAACUUAAGCAUAUCAAAACCCGGGAGGGAAAAA
rnacentral:rRNA from 1 species